rnacentral:piRNA from 1 species
UUGGAGAAGUGUCGCGCUCUGAAGCUGC